AGUUAUUUUUGGGGCAUUUGAUGCACUGGAUGAGGUUCACCAAUAUGAUAGGCAUGUGUAUGACUCAUUGAUCUUGAAAGUUAUCACUACAAAAUGU